ACACAGGAAACCAGAGGUAUGAACGAUGUUUGCAUGGGGUAGGAACGUUGGACAUACUAUUGAUCUGGAAGAAUGGGAAAAGAUUUGGAAUGUGAAUUAUAAAAUAACAAAAUAGGCGGCAUAUAAGGAAAACCAACAUAAAAUGUUCUAUCAUUGGCAUUUGGCACCUUCAAGACUGGCUAAGAUUUACCCAAACUUAAAACCAAAUUGUUGGAAGUGCGGACAACAACAAGGUACCUUCUUUCAUUCUUGGUGGACAUGCCCCAAAGCGAAAAAAUACUGGAAAAUGAUUCAAAUGUAG